GAUGAACGCUGGCGGCGUGCCUAAUACAUGCAAGUCGAGCGAACGGACGAUAAGCUUGCUUCUCUGAUGUUAGCGGCGGACGGGUGAGUAACACGUGUAUAACCUACCUAUAAGACUGGGAUAACUUCGGGAAACCGGAGCUAAUACCGGAUAAUAUUUUGAACCGCAUGGUUCAAAAGUGAAAGACGGUCUUGCUGUCACUUAUAGAUGGAUCCGCGCUGCAUUAGCUAGUUGGUAAGGUAACGGCUUACCAAGGCAACGAUGCAUAGCCGACCUGAGAGGGUGAUAGGCCACCUUGGAAGUGAGACACGGUCCAGACUCCUACGGGAGGCAGCAGUAGGGAAUCGUCCGCAAUGGGCGAAAGCCUGACGGAGCAACGCCGCGUGAGUGAUGAAGGUCUUCGGAGCGUAAAACUCUGUUAUUAGGGAAGAACAUAUGUGUAAGUAACUGUGCACAUCUUGACGGUACCUAAUCAGAAAGCCACGGCUAACUACGUG
rnacentral:rRNA from 1 species